rnacentral:rRNA from 1 species
GUUCAGAACGUCGUGAGACAGUUCGGUCCCUAUCCAUCGCGGGCGUAAGAGACUUGAAGGGAACUGCUCCUAGUACGAGAGGACCGGAGUGGACGGACCAAUGGUGUACCAGUUAUUCCGCCAGGAGUACAGCUGGGUAGCUACGUCCGGAAAGGAUAAACGCUGAAAGCAUCUAAGCGUGAAACCAGCCUUAAGAUGAGGUCUGUCAUUCGAAAGAAGUAAGGCCCCUUGUAGAUGACAAGGUAGAUAGGCCAGAUGUGUAAGUGGCGCAAUCCACGCAGCUGACUGGUACUAAUAGGCUGAGGACUUGACUUAA